GUAACUCUCCAAGAGCAGACGGGUGCACAAUCCCAAGAUUGCGGUAAGAAUAAUUUUAUGUAUAAGCAUAUUUUUUGAAGUAGCCCAAGCUGUGUGUUUUAUAACUAAGAGGUGUUUUUUGUCUUGUAAUUUACAGGAGGCUGUACGGCGUCUCUGAGGCACACUGCAGGCGCUAUGAACCAGAGCAAAGACUAACGUCGCCUCAUAACAAAGACGUGACCUCCGAUUUGCUUGGGGCUAUUUCAGCAAGUCCAGAUUUACUGCUGAGAAUGACGACAUUGUUUCUGCCCGUAAGACGUGUUAUGAGUCGGUACGCCGGAGUUUCAGAUACAAACAACCUGAACUCGCAUCGCAGGCGGAAAAUGCGAAAAGUUUAGCUCGGAGUCGAUCCAGAAGAAAAAUGGUAAGAUUUAUUAUAUUAGAUCAGUUUUUUGUCAAUGUGAGUAUUUUUCAGGUCACUUAUUGUCCUUAUUGAUUGUAUU